rnacentral:rRNA from 1 species
CCUACGGGAGGCAGCAGUGGGGAAUCUUGCGCAAUGGGCGAAAGCCUGACGCAGCAACGCCGCGUGGGGGAUGAAGGCUUUCGGGUUGUAAACCCCUUUCAGCAGGGACGAAUCAAGACGGUACCUGCAGAAGAAGCCCCGGCUAACUACGUGCCAGCAGCCGCGGUAACACGUAGGGGGCAAGCGUUGUCCGGAUUUAUUGGGCGUAAAGAGCUCGUAGGUGGCUGAGUAAGUCGGGUGUCAAAUCUUCAGGCUCAACCUGGAGCUCCACCCGAUACUGCUCUGGCUAGAGUCCGGUAGGGGAGCGUGGAAUUCCUGGUGUAGCGGUGAAAUGCGCAGAUAUCAGGAGGAACACCAGCGGCGAAGGCGGCGCUCUGGGCCGGUACUGACACUGAGGAGCGAAAGCGUGGGUAGCAAACAGGAUUAGAUACCCUGGUAGUCCACGCGUAACGUAGGCGACUAGUGUGGGUCGUAUCUACGACGUCCGUCGCGUCGCUACGACAUAGUGCCGCCGUCGGGUAGGUACGGCCGCGACGGACGUAAACCUACAAGAAGUAGUAGCGCGAGAGAGCGACGACGACGACGACGGAGGAGG